GAGACAGGACUUCCCUUCGGGGCAGACAGACAGGUGGUGCAUGGUUGUCGUCAGCUCGUGUCGUGAGAUGUUGGGUUAAGUCCCGCAACGAGCGCAACCCUUACAGUCAGUUGCUACGCAAGAGCACUCUGGCAGGACUGCCGUUGACAAAACGGAGGAAGGUGGGGAUGACGUCAAAUCAUCAUGCCCCUUAUGGCCUGGGCUACACACGUACCACAAUGGCACUUAACAACGAGAAGCAAAGCCGCGAGGCGGAGCGAAACUCCAAAAAGUGUCUCAGUUCAGAUUGCAGGCUGAAACUCGCCUGUAUGAAGUCGGAAUUGCUAGUAAUCGCGGAUCAGCAUGCCGCGGUGAAUACGUUCCCGGGCCUUGUACACACCGCCCGUCACACCAUGAGAGUUGGCAACACCCGAAGUCAGUAGUCUAACCGCAAGGGGGACGCUGCCGAAGGUGGGGUUGAUGAUUGGGGUGAAGUCGUAACAAGGUAGCCGUAUCGGAAGGUGCGGCUGGAUCA
rnacentral:rRNA from 1 species